UUUAUUGAAAAAAAAUAUUUCACUACGCUUAAUCCUACGUAGAUAUAUUUUAUACCUACUUUUUCUUUAGUAACUACGAAUGUGAAUCCCCACGCAACCUGGAAGGUAUCCUAAGAAUACGCUGUGAUAUUAAAGGAUCUCGAACCUUCGAAGCAAGAUCUUUGUCUUAUUCAUUGGCUCUCAUCUCCUUUAAUGGUCGGAUAAUUCAUUGGGAGAUACAUUUUAACAUUUAUCUACUUAUAGAUAUAGUGACUUCCAAUCUCGUAGAUCAUCACUUCAAAAAUACAUCUAUACAUAAUAGACCCGAUGAGGAACCCAGGGAGUGAUCUUCCUCUAUUUAAAGCUACUUCAUUGAAAAUCCUGAAUAUAUUAAUCCUAAAUUUAACCCUAUUUUGUAUUUUACUCUUUUAAAGGAGCCAUAAUUUAUCCUUAAUAAACAUAACAAACAAAU
rnacentral:lncRNA from 1 species